rnacentral:rRNA from 1 species
GCAGCUAACACAUGCAGUCGACGGGGUGUAGCAAUACAUCUAGUGGCGGACGGGUGAGGAAUACAUAGGAGUUUGCCCUUAAGUGGGGGAUAGUCCGGGGAAACUCGGUUUAAUACCGCAUGAUCUCGUGAGAGCAAAGCAGGGGACCGCAAGGCCUUGCGCUUUUGGAGAAGCCUAUGUCGGAUUAGCUAGUUGGUAGGGUAAUGGCCUACCAAGGCAACGAUCCGUAACUGGUCUGAGAGGAUGAUCAGUCACACCGGAACUGAGACACGGUCCGGACUCCUACGGGAGGCAGCAGUGGGGAAUAUUGGACAAUGGGCGAAAGCCUGAUCCAGCAAUGCCGCGUGUGUGAAGAAGGCCUUCGGGUUGUAAAGCACUUUAGGCUGGAAAGAAAAAGCUUCACCUAGUACGGGAAGCCUUGACGGUACCAGCAGAAUAAGCACCGGCUAACUCUGUGCCAGCAGCCGCGGUAAUACAGAGGGUGCAAGCGUUAAUUGGAUUUACUGGGCGUAAAGCGUGUGUAGGCGGUUCGUUAAGUCGGAUGUGAAAGCCCUGGGCUCAACCUGGGAACUGCAUUCGAUACUGGCGAGCUAGAGUACGGUAGAGGGAGGCGGAACUCCGGGUGUAGCGGUGAAAUGCGUAGAUAUCCGGAAGAACACCGAUGGCGAAGGCAACCUCCUGGGCCUGUACUGACGCUGAGACACGAAAGCGUGGGGAGCAAACAGGAUUAGAUACCCUGGUAGUCCGCGCUGUAAACGAUGAGAACUUGACGUCGGUUUGCUCUGCGAAUCGGUGUCGAAGCUAACGCGCUAAGUUCUCCGCCUGGGGAGUACGGCCGCAAGGUUGAAACUCAAAUGAAUUGACGGGG